GCACCUUAUAAGUAGUGGUUACGGGUUUUGCUUCGGUUGAGAUCACCCACUCUCAUCUUCUCCUCCUCACUUCCUUCAACUUUCUUAGCUGCAGCAACAAGAAAAGAAAAAGAUUGUAGGAUGGAGAAAACAAGCGUUUCAAGUUUGGCGAGAACAAAAUCCGACCAUUUGGUGGAGACAAUGGCAGCGGCCUUUAAAUCUCCGCUGACGAGUGAGGUGGCUGGAGGAGUGUCAGAAGGCAGUGGGACCCUGUCGAGAAGGUCCAGCAAACGGCUGAUGAUGGCGGCCUCACCUGGACGCGGCGGUGUAGGUGGCAAGAACACGCAUAUAAGAAAGUCAAGGAGUGCACAAAUGAGGUUUGACUUAGAUGACCUCAGCAGCGGUGCAGCUUUGAGCAGAGCCUCUAGUGCCAGCUUGGGCUUGUCUUUCUCCUUCACCGGCUUCGCGGUGCCGCAAGAUGAGAUCGCCGAUUCGAAGCCGUUUAGCGAUGAUGAUAUACCUGAGGAUCUUGAAGCCGGGACUCGAAAACCGAAGUUUCAAACGGAACCCACGUUGCCAAUUUAUCUCAAGUUCACAGAUGUGAGUUACAAGGUGAUCAUCAAGGGGAUGCAUUCGAUCGAGAAGGAUAUUUUGAAUGGAAUCACUGGUUCAGUGAAUCCAGGGCAAGUCUUGGCACUUAUGGGACCUUCAGGAAGUGGAAAGACAACACUCUUGAAUCUGCUCAGCGGCAGGUUAAAUCAGCCCACUGUUGGUGGUUCAAUUACUUACAAUGAUCAGCCAUAUUCCAAGUUUCUCAAGAGUAGGAUAGGAUUUGUGACUCAGGAUGAUGUUUUGUUUCCUCACCUUACAGUGAAAGAAACGCUAACAUAUGCAGCUCGGCUUCGAUUGCCGAAGACAUUGACUAAAGAACAGAAGGGAAAAAGAGCCAUAGAUGUCAUCUAUGAACUAGGCUUAGAAAGGUGUCAAGACACUAUGAUCGGAGGCUCAUUCGUCCGGGGGGUCUCAGGUGGCGAAAGGAAAAGAGUUUGUAUUGGAAAUGAGAUUAUAAUAAACCCUUCUGUCUUGUUUCUUGAUGAACCAACCUCUGGCUUGGAUUCCACAACAGCUUUAAGGAUAGUUCAAAUGUUGCAGGACAUAGCAGAGGCAGGGAAAACAGUGGUAACUACAAUCCACCAGCCAUCAAGUAGACUGUUUCACAAGUUUGACAAGUUGAUCCUUCUUGGGAAAGGAAGCUUGCUGUAUUUCGGACAAGCAUCAGAAGCAAUAUCCUACUUCUCAUCUAUCGGUUGUAAUCCUCUCAUUGCCAUGAACCCGGCCGAGUUCUUGCUAGACCUUGCAAAUGGAAACCUGAAUGAUGUUUCUGUACCAUCAGAAUUGGAGGAUAAAGUGCAAAUCGAGGACUCGCGCAACGAAACAAGAAAUGAGAAGCCAUGUCCUGAAAAUGUACAUGAGUAUCUAGUGGAAGCGUAUGAAACACGAGUCGCAGAAAACGAGAAGAAGAAACUUAUGAUUCCUAUACCUCUUGAUGAGGAAGUGAAGCUGAAAGUGUCUUCUCCUAAGAGACAAUGGGGAGCAAGCUGGUGGGAACAAUAUACAAUACUGUUCUGUAGAGGAAUCAAAGAACGUAGGCAUGAUUAUUUUAGCUGGUUGAGGAUAACUCAAGUUCUUGCCACUGCAAUUAUCUUAGGACUCCUUUGGUGGCAAUCAGAUAGUAGCAGUCCCAAAGGCCUGCAAGAUCAGGCAGGGCUGCUUUUCUUCAUUGCUGUUUUCUGGGGAUUUUUUCCUGUCUUCACCGCCAUCUUUACAUUUCCUCAGGAAAGAGCUAUGCUAAAUAAAGAACGUGCAGCAGACAUGUAUAGGCUGAGUGCUUAUUUCGUGGCAAGAACUACAAGUGAUCUUCCACUUGAUCUGAUACUGCCAGUGCUUUUCCUUGUAGUUGUGUAUUUCAUGGCAGGCUUGAGAAUGAGUGCUGGCCCAUUUUUUCUUACCCUUCUCACAGUCUUCCUCUGUAUUGUUGCGGCUCAGCAGGGGCUCGGACUAGCUAUCGGAGCUACAUUAAUGGACCUAAAGAAAGCUACAACACUGGCUUCUGUAACUGUGAUGACCUUUAUGCUGGCUGGAGGAUACUUUGUAAAGAAAGUUCCAAUAUUUGUUGCUUGGAUUCGUUACAUGUCUUUCAACUACCACACUUACAAGCUUCUUCUGAAGGUGCAAUAUGAGCACAUGUUGCCUCCCAACAAAGGAAUGAGAAUAGACAAUGGUUUAAGGGAGGUUAGUGCCUUGGUGGCUAUGGCUUUUGGCUACCGUCUGUUGGCUUACAUUUCUUUGCGGAAGAUGAAGCUUAACUGGGGAACCUAGUUGCCGACAAAUUUCAGACGAACAUAAAUCUGGAACACUUCCCCACAAUUCUGAGUUUGACUUUUGGAGGGAGUCAUCUUGUCAGAGCUCAUAUUCCAGCUUCCCAUUGUCAGUUGUGUUUUGAGUCCCCCAUCACACAACUCAUGCCAAUGUCCUUAACCAGCCGAGAAGUCGAAGGAGAGCAGCAUCCAAUACAGGGGAUUUUUUCUCCAGUCCUGAAAUAAAAGAAAAUCAAUAGAGGGUGGGAAAGAAUUAGUUUCUAAUCUUCUUUUCCCCCCUUGGAGGUCACACAAAUAAGUAAUGAUUCAGCUCAUUUUGUCAUCCAUGCACUUUGAGGCAAAAGACUACCCAAAAAUGAUGUUGACCAGGAAUGAAAAGGAAGGUUUAGUAUCCUCACAUGGCAAAACACAUUCUAACAUUGUCCAAUGGGAAGAGUUUCCUUCUAAAUUCAAAUUUCUACAUAUUUUAUGGACAAUCAUGAAGUAGAUAAACAGCAAAAUAGUUCCAGGAACUUGAAGUUUAUUUUUGUUUGUGGAAAAUAACUUGUGUUUGAAACAUAUUUUUUGUGGAAAAUAUUUUCCUGUACAAAAUAUUUUCCAAUAAAAGAACUUAUUUUCUAUUGUUUAAUUUUAAUUUAAGAAAUAAAAUACAUUAGCAAAUUUGUACAUAGAAAUCUUAAUAAGAUUCUCAAAAUGAGAACCUCUUUCCAUUUUCCUUAAAUUUUUCCUUUGAUUGGAAAAAUAUUAAAUAUUUUUCAUUAACUAAAUUUUCCUGAAUGCUCCAAAAAUCAGAAGAUGUAGAAAAUAUUUUCCGUGAAACAAACGGAGCCUUAGAUAUGAAAAUGGCCCCUAGCUUACCAAUGUCAGCAGCUACUCGGUGAGCACACAUGACUCCGGAAAAGGCUACAGCUAUCACACCCUGUCCAGGAAAGCAGCUAUCGCCAACACAGUAAAGACCAUCUACAGCCUGCAAGUUUCAUUGUCAUGUGAACACAGCCUAUUUGAUACAAGCUACAUGCAUUACAUCAUUUAUCAGAGGUCAAUAACACUUACUGUUGUAUUGAAUGGCAUUCCAAGCAAGCCUUUAGGAGUUCCACGUGGCAUUGGUCCAUAGGUGCCUUUAUCACGAGCUAGGUAUCGUCUGUGUGUCUUUGGUGACCCCACCUAUCAUAA